rnacentral:rRNA from 1 species
GUUGUCCGGAAUUAUUGGGCGUAAAGAGCUUGUAGGCGGUUUGUCGCGUCUGCAGUGAAAAUCCGAGGCUCAACCUCGGACUUGCUGUGGGUACGGGCAGACUAGAGUAUGGUAGGGGAGACCGGAAUUCCUGGUGUAGCGGUGGAAUGCGCAGAUAUCAGGAGGAACACCGAUGGCGAAGGCAGGUCUCUGGGCCAUAACUGACGCUGAGAAGCGAAAGCAUGGGGAGCGAACAGGAUUAGAUACCCUGGUAGUCCAUGCCGUAAACGUUGGGCGCUAGGUGUGGGGCUCAUUCCACGAGCUCCGUGCCGCAGCUAACGCAUUAAGCGCCCCGCCUGGGGAGUACGGCCGCAAGGCUAAAACUCAAAGGAAUUGACGGGGGCCCGCACAAGCGGCGGAGCAUGCGGAUUAAUUCGAUGCAACGCGAAGAACCUUACCAAGGCUUGACAUAUACCGGAAACAUCCAGAGAUGGGUGCCCCGCAAGGUCGGUAUACAGGUGGUGCAUGGUUGUCGUCAGCUCGUGUCGUGAGAUGUUGGGUUAAGUCCCGCAACGAGCGCAACCCUCGUCCUAUGUUGCCAGCGCGUUAUGCCGGGAACUCAUGGGAGACUGCCGGGGUCAACUCGGAGGAAGGUGGGGAUGACGUCAAGUCAUCAUGCCCCUUAUGUCCAGGGCUUCACGCAUGCUACAAUGGCCGGUACAAAGGGCUGCGAUACUGUAAGGCGGAGCGAAUCCCAAAAAGCCGGUCUCAGUUCGGAUUGGGGUCUGCAACUCGACCCCAUGAAGUCGGAGUCGCUAGUAAUCGCAGAUCAGCAACGCUGCGGUGAAUACGUUCCCGGGCCUUGUACACACCGCCCGUCAAGUCAUGAAAGUCGGUAACACCCGAAGCCGGUGGCCUAACCCGUAAGGGGGGGAGCCGUCUAAGGUGGGAUCGGUAAUUAGGACUAAGUCGUAACAAGGUAGCCGUACCGGAAGGUGCGGCUG